rnacentral:tRNA from 1 species
GCUGUGAUGGCCGAGUGGUUAAGGCGUUGGAUUUGAAAUCCAAUGGGGUUUCCCGCGGUUCGAACACUGCUCUCAGCG